CUGGGAAGGAGGGAGACUUGUGACAGCCUCUGGGGUGUGCAGGAUCAGAGGUGUAGCCACUGGGUCAGAGGCACAGUGUUGGGGGGGGGGAAGCGAGUUUAGUAUUGCAAGCAAAAUUUACUCAGAAACAUCCAUGGAAUUACUGAUCCGUCAAUGGACAAGCCAGUGUUUUCCAAGGAUACAGAAGCCUUCUACCUUCACAAGUCCGUAUCCUGGAGUCCAAGAAAUUAUUAGAAGAUAACAUGUCUUCAGCUUUUACACAAUACAACACAGGCAAAGCUCACUCUCACUUAAAAUAUAUUGCAUUUCCUCCUUCCAGUUCCCAACAUUGCUCCUGUUACAUGUGCUCAAUAAAUGAACAUCUGUUGAAUGGAAGUGAGACAGAAGAAGCCGCACAUGGUUUCAGGGAAUUGCCGUCUUCACUGCUAAAUCAUGUGUAUGACUUAUUUUGGCCCUUUGUGACAACACCCACUUCGGGACCCCAUCUAGACCCUAAAUAUUUUAGCCCUCCUUCUUUCCCACACUUUUGUCUCAACUGUUCUGACCUGAAAGUGUCAUUUCAUUUGACUAAUGUCAUUCGACUGAAGUGAGUGAAGCUUGUUUGAUCAGUGGCCACUGGAAGAGGAAGCAGGAAGGGGCUUUAGUUAAGCUGCUUCUCCUUUCCUGCAGCCCAGGGUAAGAGAUUCCUCCAUGAUGUCACAGUGAGCUGCACUCUGACAUCACAAUGGACCUUGUGAACAACCACCCCACUGCUAAUGGCUUCCUUAAAGAAGGUCUCUUUGAAUCAAAGGCUGUUGUUUGUCCUUCAUUCUGAAAGAGGACUAGGACAUCAGGAAGGUGACGCCAUGACUUACAAGUGAAUUGGAUUACAGUGAGGGAGGGCUGUGCAAAGUCACCAGCCUCACUCUCUCCUCUGGAGCCAUCUGGGACCAAUGGCCAGAUACAGAUGUGGAUGACUGGAGAUGGCCCCCAAAUUGAAGGGGCUAUGGGGAAAAGAAAGGCAAAGAGUGUUGGCCCUAAAGGUCUGGGUUCAAGUCCUAUUUCUG
rnacentral:lncRNA from 1 species